AUCGACAGAACUUUGGCGAUGUAGGGGAUCAAGGGUAAAUUCAGGAUCAGAAGCACCAAGUUGCCAAUGAACAUGGACAUGAUCACAGCCCAGAAAAUCUGAGGCUCAUCAAUCAUCAAGCGCGGCCC
rnacentral:ncRNA from 1 species